UCUUAUACAACACGAAGAGAAACAAAGAAGCAAAUCUGCGCACGCGGCGGCCCUGAGCGACGGGUCGGCACCAGCCGCCACCGGCGCGCUUCCGCCCGCGUCCGAUGGCCGGAGACCAAGCACGCCCACAGGUGUUCGACGCAGGCCCGACCGGCGCAUGCCGUGACCCCUUGCUUGCUGGUUGCCCUCUGCUCCCGGCUUCUGAGGUUGCCGGAGGAUUGCGCUCCUGGAUUGGAUUGGAGUUUAGAUGGCAAUUGUAUCAAGUUAUAGCCUUAUAGGGCUGAUACAGUUAUAGGAUCACAAUCCAGGAUUGGAUUGGAUUGAGGCGAAACUUUGCACUUAUCGAUGAAAUACCAACUUGUAUGUCAACCCUGUUCAGUUAUACCUGAAAUGUCAACUGUAUCCUAGUUUGCCCAUGAUUAAUUAAUCUAUUAACUUGCCAAUCUGCUUAGUUGGUUAAGUCUCAAGUCUCAACUGUGUGUUUAUUGUCCAGGAAGCAAAGCAAAUGAUGAAAUUAAAGCUGUUAGUACAUAAAGAUUGAAGAGCACAUAUUCUGAUGUGAUGGACUAUGUUAUAGGAAUGCUGACAUGGUUGAGUUUUCGAUGGAAUCAUAUGAGAAGCUUGUUUGUUGGACGUGUUGCUAAACCUGAGUAACAGCCUAAUAUUAAUGCACUGAACCAAUGUGUGAAGCGAAUUAGGACUUGACAAAAUACCUUGACAAGACUAACUGAUCAUACAGCACUCCUACACCAAAGAAUGCACUGAAUGCAACCACAAAGGCUACCUUGUAGUCAGUUUGUUUUGCUGACAGAAUGUGAUGUUCUUCCGCUGAAUUGCAUUUUUGAGUGAGAACAGAGCCACAUAGCUUUGGGUUCCCAUCGAAACUAGAAUUCUGAAAUGUAUUAAACUGGCCUCCAGAUGGAAUAGGCCCUUGUAGGUCAUUGUUCGAAAUGCUGAAUGCUGAAAGGAAGUGCAGGCUGUUCAAUGCAGCUGGGAUAUCACCUGUAAGAUUGUUGUUGGACAAGUCUAACACCUGCAAGUUUGUGAGGUUGCAAAUCGCUUGUGGGAUC